AUUUGGGCAGACUGUGCUGGGCACUCACCACAGGCUGAGGUGCCUCAGGAAGCUGCGAUGCCUCCCUGCUUGCAGAAGUAUUCAGUCCUUCAGACAAAGGAACGGGCUUCUGCAGGGACUCCGGAUCCGCCCAGCUCCUCCUCUGCAGGAGAUGGCUAGGUGCGGCUGGGCUCGGGGGUUAGUGUAGGCCCGCCCAUCCGUCAGGAGCUCAGCAGACUUCCAAGUGUAGCCGGGGGGGGGGGGGGGGGCAGCUGUAGUGGCCUCUAACCCACUGUUCCACUUCUCUGCACCCAGAAGCCUGGGGGGUCCGGAACAGUCUGAGAUUUGGGCAGACUGUGCUGGGCACUCACCACAGGCUGAGGUGCCUCAGGAAGCUGCGAUGCCUCUCUGCUUGCAGAAGUAUUCAGUCCUUCAGACAAAGGAACGGGCUUCUGCAGGGACUCCGGAUCCGCCCAGCUCCUCCUCUGCAGGAGAUGGCUAGGUGCGGCUGGGCUCGGGGGUUAGUGAUCCAUACUGGGAAGGCCCAAAGGUCAGCGGUGGAAGCUAGAAAGUCUAUGCCAGCAGGAAGAAGGAGCUGUGCUGGUAGGUUCAGGAUACUACACUGGAGCCAAGAAGUCAUACUCCGAAUAAGAACCAGUGUUGUCCUGAAAAGCAUCACAGCCAUCCUCAGCGACAAGGAGGCCCCAAGUUCCUCUGAUGAUAAACAUGGUCGAGUACACCCCUGGAAGCCAGCAUGAUGAAUUCAUCCUGGAGACCAAGUGGCACACGUCUUCCUCUCCAGAGCCAGGAAGCCAUGCUCGAUGUGAGGACCAGAGCUUCUCCAGGAGGACCUAAUGGCUCAAACAGCAACCUGUAGAACCCACGAUGCCUCAAAGCCUCAACGCACCAAUGCUUUCUCCUUCUCCAUGUCUCUUAUUUAUGCUGGCAACUUUCCUCAGGUGAAACAUCUCUACACUCAGCAGCAUGGUGAUUUAAUUCCACUGGCGUUAAGUUGACCAGCAGUUUUUAAUCCAUAACAAAUAGUUUUCUUUUAAUGUGGUACUUUGUCUUUUUUUCUUUCUUGAAUUCUGUGAUAUUUAUUUGUAUAUUAGUUUUGUUGAAAUUGCCACCUUUUCAUUAAUUAUUUUCAUUUAUUUGUAUUUCCUUGUGUCAAAAGUAGAAAUUUAAACUGGUCCAUUUUCAAGAUAAAGUACUUAACUCUGAUUGGAAAGCUACUAGUAGACGAAUUUGCCUGCUGCCUUGCAGAUGUGACUGAGGAAGGGGCAGUCAAAAAAGUAUGCCCUUAGGGUGCUUACUUUGGUAGGAAAAUCAUUCACAGUUUGCACUGGGGCUUCAUGACUUGCCUUUAGACUGAGAAGAAGUUUGGAGAGGGACUGGGCCUAAUAACAUCUAGGCAACAUUCAGGAAGACUAUACAGAGCCCCUCCCCGACCACUGUGCGCGCUGUAACCACCCCAAGUGUACCUGCCUGUGAGGUGGGCUGGCACUUGCUCUUGCACAACUUAGAAAUAAAGUUUCACUUUUGCUGCA